rnacentral:lncRNA from 1 species
AGAACUAUUUCAUCAAUGCAAUGAACAAAUAAUACACAGUAAAAAACAGGUCAUAUGCCAAGAAUGUCAUAAUAGUCUAGUAAUAUUAAAUUUAAAUAUUAAAUCAUAUAGUAAUUUCCAUGGAUAUUGAAAAAGCAGUGAAUAAAAAUAUAUUUAUUCCAACUGAAAACUUCAAAUAAAAUAUGAAGACUAUACACUACUUUGUAUAUGUAUUUAUGAAUCUUGCACUACUUUUAAUUGCCAAACAAUAAAAGUAAAGUUGGAAACAAAAGAAAGAUAUUGUUCUGGAGAUACCAGUUGAUGGAAUUAGAAUUGAAAAAAAAAUAAGUAUACAAUUUUAAAAUGGAUAUACAUAAUUAUUUUUUAGAAAUGAUACAACUGUAUAACCAAAAAAAAAAAAAUACAACUUAAAAUAUAUUUCCAAAAAGAUAAAAACAGUCAUAAACACAUGAGAGAAUAAGACAUGUGCUUGUCUUAACUUUUUCAUAAGCCUUUGAUUGAAGGACCCAGCUGGGGUGGGGUGCUUAGGCAACUGCAGCAAAGUGACCUCAAUGAUGUUUAUCUCUGUUUUUAAGGCUACUUUCUCCUGCGGAAGUUUUCUAAAACUAGUGACCAGAGCAAACAAGAAGUAAAAAAUGAGAGGGCGGGAAAUAGAGACUUUCCUUCCAACUUUGAAAACAAUUUAUUUGACCGUAGUUGGCGUUCCAGAGACUGUUUGGGAAGUCAUUUGAACUGACACAGCUGAAGUGGCAAGGAAGGUGAUGGAUCUGUAUGGUAAACAGAAAAUAGGCUGCAUGAGAGAGCAGCUCCAGCAUUCGUAAGCCUCAGAGGAAAAGACGCUUACCCAGUCAGUUUUACAAUACUGCUGUUCUUGUACCACGCUAAACCCUGGAUCACAAAUACAAUGCAAUUCUCUCAAACAGCCUUUAUUCAUUGUGUUAGGGGAAAACAUAUGGCUAUUCCUUAAGCUUUCUUGGAGAAUAAUUUAAGAAAAGCUGAUUUUACUUUAUAUCACCAGCAUAAAUGACAUACUAGUUAAUAUACUCCUCUGUAUAUAAGGAGCAUAACAAUAGAACCAAAACUUUAAGGGUAUU